rnacentral:lncRNA from 1 species
GCAAGUGUGCCUUGACCAUUCCCAGUAGGCACACCAUCUGACACAAGGUGAGUGAUUAUAUACUGCUUGAAUGCAUUUGUGAAUAAAUGAAUGAAUGCUUACAGAAAAGAAUGUGGAAUUUAUACUCAAUACUAGAGUCUCUACCCACUCCAGACAGAGGCAGGGUGAAUCAAAGAGUCAGAAUCAGGAAGAAAUAAGAGAAGAGCAGUUUGGUCUGGUCAUGCCCCUUUUUAUAGACUUAUCUUGACAAUGUAGACCAAACAGCCUUGCCACCCACCUCCCCAAUCCUUUCUGACACAUACACUCACCCAACCUACAGCCACAGCUCUAAAGUUAUCUAGAACCACUUUCCAACUAUACCUGGGGUCAAUUAGACCUAGGUGGAAACCACAAUGAACACAUUUGUGGCACAAACUUGGCCCUGGUUUCACACAGUUGUUCUCUCAGCUGAAAUUCUCCCCUAAC